AUUUAAGUUAUGUACAAACUCUUAACCUUCAAAGUUAAAAAUAGAUUUUAUCUAAGCCUUA
rnacentral:tRNA from 1 species